UUUUAACGGCCGCGGUAUCCUAACCGUGCAAAGGUAGCAUAAUCACUUGUUCCUUAAUUAGGGACUUGUAUGAACGGUUAAAUGAGGGCAAAACUGUCUCCUACAGUUAAUCAAUGAACUUGAUCAUACAGUACAAAUGCUGUAAUUUACUUAUAAGACGAGAAGACCCUGUGGAGCUUUAAACUUCUACAUUAAAUAAAAACUAUAAUAUAAUGUAAAAUUUUAAGUUGGGGCGACUGUGGAGUAAAAAAAAACCUCCAUGAAACUCGACUAACCCUCGUCAUAAAAGGCCAACAAGCCUAACAAAAACGUUUGACCCAAUCAUAUUGAAUACCGAACCAAGUUACCCCAGGGAUAACAGCGCCAUCCCCUUAAAGAGUUCACAUCGCCAAGGGGGUUUACGACCUCGAUGUUGGAUCAAGACUUCCCGGUGGUGUAGCCGCUACCAAAGGUUCGUUUGUUCAACGAAUAAUGUCUUACGUGAU
rnacentral:rRNA from 1 species